rnacentral:sRNA from 1 species
ACACCUCUUCAGCCGCUUGUUCUCUUUCUCCGCCGGUGUCCUCCCU